GGGUGAACUGUGAGUGUAAAUACUAUUGCUGGGUUUAUUUUACUUCAGUUUUACGUGUACAGGACAAUACAGCGGCGCAGAUUGUGUUCCUAUGGAUUUUUUAUUACAGCAGUGUUGGCAGCGUGUGGAGUGUGGCAGAACGGCAGAGGUCACACAGCAGCUCAUCCCACAGCAGGCUGCCCUCCGCUGUGCCGCCACCACAACCACCACUACCAGUGAGGGAGGGGGGCAGAGGUACAGCUCAUCAAAUUGUCAGAUGAUUCCCACGCUGCUGUACCACGGGGUUGGAGAGUGAGAGAGUGGAGAAGAGGGAGCUGAUUCAGAAGGGCUGUGGAAGUGGAAGGGUG